rnacentral:rRNA from 1 species
UACGUAGGUGGCAAGCGUUGUUCGGAAUCACUGGGCUUAAAGGGCGCGUAGGCGGUCCAACAAGUCGGGGGUGAAAUCCUGCAGCUCAACUGCAGAAGUGCCUUCGAUACUGUUGGUCUUGAGGGAAAUAGGGGUGUGCGGAACUUCCGGUGGAGCGGUGAAAUGCGUUGAUAUCGGAAGGAACGCCGGUGGCGAAAGCGGCGCACUGGAUUUCUUCUGACGCUGAGGCGCGAAAGCUAGGGGAGCAAACGGG